rnacentral:rRNA from 1 species
AGUGAACGCUGGCGGUAGGCCUAACACAUGCAAGUCGAACGGCAGCACAGUAAGAGCUUGCUCUUACGGGUGGCGAGUGGCGGACGGGUGAGGAAUACAUCGGAAUCUACUUUUUCGUGGGGGAUAACGUAGGGAAACUUACGCUAAUACCGCAUACGACCUACGGGUGAAAGCAGGGGAUCUUCGGACCUUGCGCGAUUGAAUGAGCCGAUGUCGGAUUAGCUAGUUGGCGGGGUAAAGGCCCACCAAGGCGGGGAUCCGUAGCUGGUCUGAGAGGAUGAUCAGCCACACUGGAACUGAGACACGGUCCAGACUCCUACGGGAGGCAGCAGUGGGGAAUAUUGGACAAUGGGCGCAAGCCUGAUCCAGCCAUACCGCGUGGGUGAAGAAGGCCUUCGGGUUGUAAAGCCCUUUUGUUGGGAAAGAAAAGCAGCAGGUUAAUACCCCGCUGUUCUGACGGUACCCAAAGAAUAAGCACCGGCUAACUUCGUG